rnacentral:rRNA from 1 species
UACGUAGGUGGCAAGCGUUGUCCGGAAUUAUUGGGUGUAAAGGGAGCGUAGGCGGGAUCGCAAGUUGAAUGUUAAAACAAAUCGGCUCAACCGGUUGCUGCGUUCAAAACUGCGAUUCUUGAGUGUGAUAGAGGUAAGCGGAAUUCCCAGUGUAGCGGUGAAAUGCGUAGAUAUUGGGAGGAACACCAGUGGCGAAGGCGGCUUACUGGGUCAUAACUGACGCUGAGGCUCGAAAGCAUGGGUAGCAAACAGGAUUAGAUACCCGGGUAGU